rnacentral:rRNA from 1 species
AUACGUAGGUGACAAGCGUUAUCCGGAUUUACUGGGCGUAAAGGGCGUGUAGGCGGUCUUGCAAGUCAGAAGUGAAAUUCCUGAGCUCCACUCGGGCGCUGCUUCUGAAACUGCAGGACUUGAGUGCUGGAGGGGAUAGCGGAAUUCCUAGUGGAGCGGUAACAUGCGCAGAUAUUGGGAAGAACACCGGUGGCGAAGGCGGCUAUCUGGACAGUAACUGACGCUGAGGCGCGAAAGCGUGGGGAGCAAACAGGAUUAGAUCCCCUGGUAGUCCACGCCGUAAACGAUGAAUACUAGGUGUAGGGGGUAUCGACUCCCUCUGUGCCGCAGUUAACACAAUAAGUAUUCCGCCUGGGGAGUACGGCCGCAAGGUUGAAACUCAAAUGAAUUGACGGGG